UGCGUAGGCGGAUAAUUAAGUCAGAGGUGAAAUCCUGCAGCUCAACUGUAGAAUCGCCUUUGAUACUGGUUAUCUUGAGUCAUUAUGAAGUGGUUAGAAUGUGUAGUGUAGCGGUGAAAUGCAUAGAUAUUACACAGAAUACCGAUUGCGAAGGCAGAUCACUAAUAAUGUACUGACACUGAGGGACGAAAGCGUGGGGAGCGAACAGGAUUAGAUACCCUGGUAGUCC
rnacentral:rRNA from 1 species